rnacentral:lncRNA from 1 species
UUAUUGCUGCCAAAAGCAUUCUCAUCAGCAGCAAAGUCUUGGUUAAACCCACGUCCACGUCCACGACCACGGCCCCCUCCACGUGGACCCCCGCGGCCUCCUCCUCUCUGGCCAUCACUCCUGGCUUCCCUCACUGUACAAGAAGGAUGACACAAAUAAGUGAUGGGAAAAAGUAAUCACAGUGUCCAUAUAAGUCAAUAGUUGGGGCAAUGGCACAUUGCGUAAGAAAAAUAUUAAGGACAAAAUAUUAAAGGCUAAUUUCCAUUAUUAACAUUAUGAUUAUUCCCAAACUAUUCUCCCAUGUAUACUAGUAAAGAACAUCCAUUAAAUAAAGGGCAAACAUGGAAACAAAAGUACCAAUAAUUUUCUUGAACUUUAAGCAAUCACAUAUUUUGAACAAUGAAAUAAGUCCAAGUAAUUCACUUAAUAUGAACUAAAGGGCUAAUACACAGGCGCAUCUACAAAAGUAAAGACUCGGCACAACUUAGCUUGAGGGAGCACUAUUUAAGAAAACAUAUGUAGUACAACACGGGAAUAGGGUAAAGACAAAGUCGAUUAAGUUGAUUCACAACAGGUUAAAACUAAAUACCAGCAAAAUCCAAAGAGUUUUUUAGAUGACUGAGAAAUCCAUAUGUGACACCACCCUUUGGACCAAUCACAGCCUUCUAAAAUCGGCCUUUGGACCAAUCACAGCCUUAAUUGGCUAGCCACAAUACCGUUCUCCACUAAAAUACGGGGCUUAGUUUGUGUGGUGUGGGAACUUGAACCUGCGCCCUAAGCCACAAAUUGAGCUAACUUCCCUAUUAUAGAAAUAAGGUCCAACUGAACAACACAAGAUAUGACACAUCAGACAAAGGAUACAAUCAUUAAACAGAAAACUGACGUAUCACAUUUUCCAGCCAAUCAAAUCCCCAUAACCACAAUUUAAUCUCACAAUCACAGAGGACAUUAUCAUUACUAAACCUACCAUCAACACGACAAUAAAUACAUUAUUCAGCAAGAGAAUAGACAUUGAAAGUGAAUAUGAAUACAAGCAUCACCAUGCAAAUAGAAUGUAUUCUCAUCAAAAGCAUAAAAUAAAACCUAAAUCAUCUACCCAACACAUUAAGAAAUAUGAAUGAAUAUUCACCAAACCCAAAUCACAAAGAUUGAAUAUUUACCAGCCUGUGAAGGAGGAACCGGCUUGGAGGGCAACUUAGCAGCAGGCUUAGCAGGCUGAACUGGACCCUUCUUGGCUGGUGCAGAUGCAACAGGAGCCUUUAGCUGCUGAGCAGCAACUAGCAAACUUGGGUCCUCAGCAUCAUCAUCCAAAAGGUCGAAUGGGUUCAAAGUAGCCAUUCUUUUUCACUCUUCUCGGAGUUCCUAAACAGAUAUAGAGAGAGGGUGAUGCAAAGAACCGAUUUUUUUUCAAGAAAUCAACGAAAACUCUACAGAUUAAAAUCCAUGUAAAGAUGAAUUUAUGGGUAAAUUUGAAGAGAAACAAAUUUGUGGGUGUUAUGAAAACCUAACCAAAGCGGCUGAUAAUUGAAGGACUGAAGUGAAACGAAAGCUUAAAAACCCUAGAUAUGGUGGGCGUAGGGAGGUUAUAUAUUUGGGUAUGGGCCGGGCUGUGCUUUGUUUGUUGAAAUUUCUUGGGCCUUUUGUUUAUCCAAGUACAAUUGUAUUUGAAUACUUAGUUAGACAAAUUUACAAAAAUUCCACUAAUUUAGAAAUUAAUUAGGUAGAUAUAUUUUGAUUUCGAAAUAUUAUGAAAUUUAUCAGAUUUUGAUGCGCUAAGAUGCAUGAAUUUAAAAUUAGAUAUAAUUUAUUCUAGAUACACUGUAUCAAAAGUGGAUUAAUAUAUCUAUGAUCAUCUCAUUGUAUAAUCUGGUAUUCCAAACAUGUGGAACACACCAAAAUACAUACAUAUACAUAUAUUUAGUGUGUUUAUAAACUAUCUUGUUUAUCUUCUUCCCCAUCGUGUUGUCUUUCUUUAUUUUAGGAUAUCUAACAACUUAAAUAUAUGUAUUUAGGUGUAUCUUCCUGGAUAUAUAGAAGGAAUAUUAAUUAGUGAUAUUAUAUGAAUGUUUAAUAAGUUAGCUUUUCCUACUAAUUACAUAUUUAUAGUUAUCCAACCGAUAUACAAAUACAAUUAUAUAUAUAUAAUUACAAUUAUAAAUAUAUAUAGAUAUAUAUAUAUAUAUAUUUAAUUACAAUUCGUUCUCUCCUCUAUUUGUUCUUCUCUUAUCUCUCUCCUUCCUUUUUCAAUCUCGCUUGUUUUUAAGCUUAACUAUUUUUUCAAAAUCAUAUAUAUAUACCCACACUAGAUGUUUGGCGUAAUUUUUUUGACAUGAAUGGAUUAUUUAAUAACAGAAGCACAAUUUUUAGUAUCAUAGUUAAUACUCGAUCGCGUAGGAAAAAGUUUAUAACUCUAUAAUAAAAGAGAUCACAAAACCAAACACGCACCUUUCUUUAGAAAUACAGCAUGACAAGACUUGCAAAAUACACACAAAAUAAAGAAGACAAGAUAUAUAUAAUAUUGAAAUUGUUACCAGAUAAUAUUAAGUGAAUCAUUCUUGUAACAUAAUAUAUCAUCUACUCUUCAAGUUCUCAUAAGAUGAUGAUAUUACACCAUGUUCAACAAUGACUGAAAUCAGAAAGAAAAAAAAAAUAACCAAAAAUGUUACAAAACUGGCAUCCAACUUUUAGCCCAGGCUGAUCAACAUAAUCCUACACAGGAUAAAGAAAAAUCAGGUAAAGGGAAGUCUAAAAUUUUCAGAAAAACAGGUUUACACAAUCUAAGACAAUAGUUUUGUCGAUGAAGAGUCGACCUAACGGAAAAUAACUAAACUCGUAUCAAUUUCAAGAUAUAAGCAAGGAUCUAUUGUGAGAUUCUUAACAACUAUCGUACAAUGAGUUAAGACGUAAAACAACAUAAACAGUAAAUCUCAUAAUUGAGGUAAGAGAAGGGCAGCGCAUACAAAGACCUUACCCCUUCCUUCUGAAGGUAGAGAGAUUGUUUCCCCAGGGCAAAGAGUUAGACGUCGUUAUUUAAGAAUAUAAACAUAAUUGUUGCUAAUAAAUUUCAACCAAAACUGAUUUAAUAAGGAAAUUAUAAGACUCAAGUCUAGCACCAAAAUAUGGAGGAAAAGGGUUUUUUUGUAAAUGUACUAAAAGGAUUAGCAAACCAGCGUUUUCAGGAACCGUCUAAAUUUACACGCUAAACGAAAAUUAUGAUGUUACCCCAAAAAAUCUAAUACAGGAAAUCCAAAAGGGUUCCAGGACACGUUAUGUUAUCAUCAAAGCCCAAAUAUCAUAAAUGACGGAAAAAGACAGAUCAAACUACAAAAGUUGCUUCCUUUUUUACCUAAUCCAUGCAGGACUGCCUCCCUUUCUUGACAGCCAAGGAGGGGAAUUGACCAACAUCUUCAAUGGAUGGGGCUGAAACACUGCUGAUUCCACCAUAUCCACCACCAUUACCUCUUCCGCGGCCGCGGCCCCUACCACGGCCACCAGGGCGGUAGUAACUUUCACCCUCAGCAGGCUUUAGAAACUCAUUUAUGCUUUGGGCCUGCAAGAAACUGAAUGUAUCAAGCCUCACAACUAAAACAGUAAUUAAAUAUAUUGAACACGAAACAUUUCUGGAUCAAUGUCUUCAAUUUUAGAGUAUUAUGUACUAGAUUGGGUCCCCUAUGUAAGUGUACUAUAAUAUACUGAUAUCACAUGAAUGCACACGGAUGUUGGGGAAAAUUCGAAUAAUGACACCUACAAAUUUGUAAUCCCUCAUUCCAUUUUUCAUCAAAAAUACAAUAAAGGGAUGAGAAUGGUUUCUUUGCAGCUGGUGAAGAAUGAGUGGAGAUUGAUCUUUCUGUCUAAAAAUACCAUUGACUUAUUUUACGUGAUUCUGGAGGUACAAGAAACACUUAAUUUUUUUUCAGUUGGGAGGGGCUUGCACUUGUGGGGCGCUGCAGGAUGUAUUGCUCUCCCCUUAAGCAAACACCCUGCUAGCCGCUAGGUACAUAAUUUUUUGAUAGAUAAGAGUUUAUGGAACGGAAUGGAAUCCCAAGGAACAGAUUAAAAAUGAUGCAACAAUACCACAUAGCAAGAUAAAAAGAAGAAGCCCAAGUACCUUUUUGGCUUUUUCCACUGCCUCCUUUUUCUUAUCUUUUUCAGCACCCUGCCCAGACAUACAAGCAUGAUGAAUAUAGCAGCCUACGACACAAUCAAGUUCCAAUUAGAGCACUCAAAAGCAGCAAGCACUAAAAUAACUCACCAAUUUGAUGAAGAUCUCAUCAUCAUUCUUCUUGUUUGAGAGAAGUUGCAUGGAUUGAAGUUCUUUGUCCAAAUUAACCUUUCUUUCCUCCUGCUUUAGAGCCACCAAAGCCUUCCUCUUCUCCUCCAUUACCUUCUCAUACUCCUCGAGGGUCAUCUCCUACAACAUAAGCAGAGAUGAAAAAUUAGAAGUUCUGAACAGUGACCAUAGAUACAUAUGAAAAAUAACAACUGGAAUCAAGCAAAUAACACUAGCUACAACAUUGUAAGUCAAACCUCUACAAGAAAGGUAAUCCACAAAGAAACAGUGAGUAGUAAAUGAAAAAAACAAUAGCAGCAAGUGGUUUUUUUUUUUGGAAUGGGUAUGAAACUACCAUAGGAAAUACUGGGAAAAACAUUGAAGAACUUACCAACAAUAAAUAAAAUACAUUACUGGUUUCGACAAGUUAGAUUGCACUGGAAUAUGGAUAACUGAGCUGAGAUUAUUCCUUGUCCAGACUGAUUUAAUCGACAAGGAGACGGUCCAAGAACUCAAUAUUGAAUUUGCACCCCGUUUCUCUCCCUUCCCCCCAAUAGCACCCCACUUAAGAAAAUGAUAGUGCCAACAAAGAUAUCAAUUGGCAACAAUAGAAUAAGGGCAUGUAAGCAGACAGAGGAAAUAAUGGUCUUCACCAGAAAAUGUCAGUUACCUUCUCCUCAGGUUCCUUCUCUUCUAGCUCAGCAGCAGUAGAAUCCUUGUUGUCAUCUCCAGCAUCUUCCUGCCCAGUUUGUUUCUCAGCCUCAACAAUCUUCUCACCAUCAACAACAGGUACUUCAGUCUCCCUGAAUUUGGAUUAAAAAAAUCAACAUUAUGCUACUACAAAAAAUUUAAUAGGUAAAGCCAAUGAAAAUAAGGAAACAAAAAAUAGAGAUGAUGAUCUCACAGUGCAAUAUCAUCUGCAGUAGUUCCCCAAUUCCCACGACCAGAGCCCUCCCGUUUAAUAUACUCAUUCCUAUAGAAUAGAACAGAACAAUAAGAUACACACAUGUGCACAAGAAAAAAAGGCUACCACAAUAAGCACAACUUAGAGUUACUGAAAAACCUAACAAAGGGAUUAGUGAAAAGCACUUGUAUGAAUUCAAUAAAUAGCAAAAUCACUUACCCACGGCCAGUGCCACUUCGUCGAUCAAACACUCUCCUUGGGCGUUCAAUUUCUCCAUCAGCAGCAUCACCAUUAUUGAAACCACCACGACGACCUCCGUAGAAGCCCCCACGAGAUCCACCGUAUCCACCUCUCCUUUCAGAGACCUUUCCUGAUUCUCCAUUUUCUGGAGCACUGUACCUCCCAGAGAAUCCAUUAUUGCUGCCAAAAGCAUUCUCAUCAGCAGCAAAGUCUUGGUUAAACCCACGUCCACGUCCACGACCACGGCCCCCUCCACGUGGACCCCCGCGGCCUCCUCCUCUCUGGCCAUCACUCCUGGCUUCCCUCACUGUACAAGAAGGGUGACACAAAUAAGUGAUGGGAAAAAGUAAUCACAGUAUCCAUAUAAGUCAACAGUUGGGGCAAUGGCACAUUGCGUAAGAAAAAUAUUAAGGACAAAAAUUAAAGGCUAAUUUCCAUUAUUAACAUUAUGAUUAUUCCCAAACUAUUCUCCCAUGUAUACUAGUAAAGAACAUUCAUUAAAUAAAGGGCAAACAUGGGAAAAAAAGUACCAAUAAUUUUCUUGAGCUUUAAGCAAUCACAUAUUUUGAACAAUAAAAGAUGUCCAAGUAAUUAACUUAAUAUGAACUAAAGGGCUAAUACACAGGCACAGCUAUGAAAGUAAAGACUCAGCACAACUUAGCUUGAGGGAGUACUAUUUAUGAAAACACAAGUAGUACAACACGGGAAUAGGUUAAAGACAAACUCGAUAUGUCAUCUAGAAGUUGAUUCACAACAGGUUUCUAAAUAUCAGCAAAAUCCAAAGAGAUUUUUUUAGAUGACUGAGAAAUCCAUAUGUGACACCACCCAUCGGACCAAUCACAGUCUUCUAAAAUCGGCCUUUGGACCAAUCACAUCCUUCUUAACUCAGCCUUUGGACCAAUCACAACCUUCUAAACUCGACCUUUGGACCAAUCACAACCUUCUAAACUCGGUGGAUAAUUGGCUAGCUACAGUACCGUUCUCCACUAAAAUAUGGGGCUUAGUUUGUGUGGUGUGGGAACUUGAACCUGUGACCUAAGCCACAAAUUGAGUUAACUUACCUAUUAUAGAAAUAAGGUACUACUGAACAACACAAGAUAUGACAAAUCAGACAGAGGAUACAAUCAUUAAACAGAAAACUAUCGUAUAACAAUUUCCAGCCAAACAAAUCCCCAUAACCACAAUUUAAUCUCACAAUCACAGAGGACAUUAUCAUUACUAAACCUACCAUCAACACGACAAUAAAUACAUUAUUCAGCAAGAGAAUAGACAUUGAAAGUGAAUAUGAAUACAAGCAUCACCAUGCAAAUAGAAUGUAUUCUCAUCAAAAGCAUAAAAUAAAACCUAAAUCAUCUACCCAACACAUUAAGAAAUAUGAAUGAAUAUACACCAACCCAAAUCACAAAGAUUGAAUAUUUACCAGCCUGUGAAGGAGGAACCGGCUUGGAGGGCAACUUAGCAGCAGGCUUAGCAGGCUGAACUGGACCCUUCUUGGCUGGUCCAGAUGCAACAGGAGCCUUUAGCUGCUGAGCAGCAACUAGCAAACUUGGGUCCUCAGCAUCAUCAUCCAAAAGGUCGAAUGGGUUCAAAGUAGCCAUUCUUUUUCACUCUUCUCGGAGUUCCUAAACAGAUAUAGAGAGAGGGUGAUGCAAAAGAACCGAUUUUUUUUCAAGAAAUCAACGAAAACUCUACAGAUUAAAAUCCAUGUAAAGAUGAAUUUAUGGGUAAAUUUGAAGAGAAACAAAUUUGUGGGUGUUAUGAAAACCUAACCAAAGCGGCUGAUAAUUGAAGGACUGAAGUGAAACGAAAGCUUAAAAACCCUAGAUAUGGUGGGCGUAGGGAGGUUAUAUAUUUGGGUAUGGGCCGGGCUGUG